rnacentral:lncRNA from 1 species
AAAAAAAAAGGGUUCAGAGUUAUUCUCAGGCAAAUUCAGACUGUGGGGAGUACUGCAGAUUAAACGAGAGAUCUCUAAAGUGGAAACCCACCAUCUAACCAAGGAUUCAAGAAGAAUUGAGGAUUUUAAAGCGACAUGAAAAGAGAAGGGGAGGAGUUGCAGACCUUAUCGUCUGCAUGUCCGAUGAUUGCAGGUCCCCAUGAGCCAACAUAGUCGAUGUAUUCAUUCCCAUCAACAUCCCACAUCUUGGAGCCCUUGACAGAAUCGAACACGAUGGGCUGGCCGCCAACUGAUUUGAAGGCACGAACCGGUGAAUUGACUCCUCCAGGUAACAGAUUCUAUCAAAAUCAGGAAAUUAUUCUGUGAGCCGGGCAAAGAAACAAGAAUCAUGAAAACGAGAGAGAACAUAGAAAAAAAAACCCAUCUCUGGAGAUCAGAGGCGAGGCAUUGAAACAAUGGCGGCCUUAAAAUAAUGCUCCUGGAAAAAUUUCAGCCUGUUGGCAGUUUUGAGAUCUAUCAAGGAAUUGAACUGUCCAACAGGGCAUUCUGCCAUUAGUGAUUUCUUCUCCAACAUGAAUUCCUUAGAAGGGAGGAUAUCGAUAUGGCGCAGGACUUUUAUAAUUCUUCAUUCGAGAAAGUCAGUCAAAAUUCUCAAUCAGAGGUAGAAGACAUCUCCUCAGAAUGCAGGAUUAGCUUCACGACAAUCAGUGGAGUUUUUCAGCCCACGCUUGAUCUUCAUAUCACCUCCGUUUGCUUCUAACCCCUUUUCCCCUUGUUAGAACUUUGAAGGGAAAUAAAAAAAAUGAUUUCCAGAUUUUUUAUUUUUUAAAAUAAUUUUGAAUCAUCAAGAUAACAGAGAGAUGCGCAUGCAUAGAACAUCAUGAACAGUUAUAAAUACGAUCCUGAGGAUUAUCCGUGAGAUAAAUUCAUGGCAUAUUCCAAUAGGCAGAACGAGCGAUGCUUCCCUUCGCACAUCCAAACAUAUUAUAAUUAAAAAAUUCAUCCCCAUAGAAUUAAAUCCCCAGGACGUGCAUAUGCGUUGAUUUCGAUCGUAGUGACCCAAGAUAAUGAAAAGUGAUCAGACUUUCCCCUUCCCCACGUCAUCCAAACAAAAGAAGUGUUCCACACAGGGAACAGAAGCGCCGCUCUUCCAGAUUCUCAAGUUCAGGGAGGCUCUGAUCUGUCCUGGGCUCGAUCGACGGAGAUUUAAUAGCCCGUCUUAAUUCAAGGGUUUAAAGUUCAGGAACAAGAUGCGGACACAGAGCUCUAAGGAUUAAACCAAGAAAUCUCAUUCAUAUGUGCGUGAGAGGACUCUUCCGAUUCUACAGAGUAAUGAAACGUUGGAAUUAUCCUGGACUGAAAUUAUGCUCAUAAUUGACGCCUCCAAGCAAUUCUAAACCAAACAAUGGACGUGAAUGCGAAAACCCCGCCUCCAAUCUGUGCGCGAUGACCGAAUAAACCAGACGAUGCCCCCCCCCUAAGAAACCCUAGCACAGAAGGGAGCAGAGCAAAGGCGACGGCACGGCAGGAGGAGAAAGGGGGUGUGGACCUUGGCGGCGUUGAAUAUUUCCUCGGAUUUUUCCAGCGUGUACGGCUUCUUCUCGACCGAGAUCGCCAUCUUCACCACGGAGGAGGAAUGGCGGGCGCUCCGAGAGGACUUGCCGGCCGGGCAAGCGGAGAUGCUCGAGCUCCAUGACAGCCCAACUCCAGAUGCGCCCGCCAUUUUUUCUGCUUCCUCGCUCUCUGCUCUCUGCUCUCUCUGCUCCGGCGUCCUCCCUCUCAAACAGAUAAGAAGAGGCCACGCUGCUUGUCGGAAAGUGCCUCCUCUCCCACGCGAUCUAAGCCGCCGAUUCCGAAAACCCGAUACCAGGGAACACCGAUUGGACGGACGCCGAUUGGCCCCAUUUCCCCCGGCAAGUCACUGCUCAAGAACUUGUCCCUGUUCUAAUUUUUUUUUCUUGCCAUUUAUUUCCCGGCAAUAUCUGAAUAUUUUAUUUAUUCUUAUCAAAUAUUACACCGUUUAAAGAUAUUAUUUCGCCGUCAUUUAUUUUUUCAGAAAAUAAAACUCUCUCUCUCUCUCUCUCUCUCUCUCUCAGAGUCGGUGCGUUUUGACCUUGCCCGUUGACUCCGUGAAAACGCUUCUCAUUCAUUCCGGCCCACAAGUGGCCUCACAUGAACCCCCAUUUAGCAUAUUACACGCGGGUAAUUUGCAAAGUCGGCGCGGAUAUUUCCAUUUUCAACGAAGGAGCCUUGGAACGCAGUGAUUCUGGGCUGGUGGAGAGAACAAGAGAGCGGCGGCUGGGUGCGUUGACUUCAAUCGGCUGGUGAAGAGAAGAACGCAGGCAGCCAGGGAGGGUCUCACAAAAUGGUGCAGCCGCCCGGUUCCCUGCACAAAAUAACUAAAAUUUUUUAUCAUCAUUAACAUAAAAAAUUUCGGGGAUGCAAUGAGCUGCAUGGGUUUUCUGGGAGCCUACAACCCAUGGAAAACUACGAGAGAUAGAGAGAGAGAGAGAGAGAGAGAGAGAGAGAGAGAGAGAGAGAGAGAGAGAGAGAGAGAGAGAGAGAGAGAGAGAGAGAGGAGGAGGAGGAGGAGAGAGAGAGAGAGAGAGNNNNNNNNNNNNNNNNNNNNGAGAGAGGAGAGGGGAGAGAGAGGAGAGAGGGAGAGAGAGAGAGUUGACUAAUAAUGAAUAAUAAGAUCAUGGGGCGUCGUACUUCCUGGUGUCCUCAUAAUAGCUCAGGCUCUCGAGGAACUUAUUCCAGAGGGGACCCGUUUCCUGGAGAUUGACGCUCUCUGGACCACCCAGAUAGGCUUCAACCACAAACUGCUGCGUUCUUUCCCUGUUAAAAGAGGUAUGAUCGGAGGGUCAAUAAAAAUACUGAAUUUGGCGAUAUGUUCCUUUUAUAGGAUAAACAUCAAGCGACGGCCCAGUCUUCUCCUUGCCCAGAUCAAGCUCAAGCAUCCCUCGCAAUGUCCAGCCCGGGCCUCUGUAUGCACCUAUCUGACAGAGAGAGAGAGAGAGAGAGAGAGAGAUCUGGCUGCCACGUGGAUGUUGCGAGAAAAAAUUGCCCGGCCCAGUCUUCCAUAUGAUUUCUAACUCCUUGGUCAUGCACAUUCUUUUGGCAACAUGCUGUUGUGAUAUAUUUAGAGACAGGAAUGAAAAUUUUAACUAGAAAAAUGGGAAAUUUUCUAUUUAUGGUAGAUAAUUAUUCGCCUACCUCCCUUCAUACACUGACAGCCAUGCCAGAUAGGAUGCCCCAAAGUACAUGGAGACGAAUGGGUUGUACAGGUCGUCCACAGACUUGACUUUGUAAGCUCUGCAACCUACAUCGCUUCAGAGAGGAAGCACAGCCCAUUUAAUUAAUCCUAAAAUAGUAAGAUGAACACCACCGAGAAGCGAGCAGUCGAUCACGGAUAAAUGCGAAUAAUGGGGAUGGUUAUUACUAUAAUAAAUAUAAAUUGCCUUCGGGGUUCCUUGUGAACUCACUUGUACAGCCAUACUGCCGUGGGAUAAUCGAUCCCCAUCAAUCCAGUGCGUGCGCGUACUCCAUUCACAAAGCGCAUGCCGCACAUCUCAGCGAGAGCAGCUAAUGCUGACUGUACAGAGGACAGUAUUCAUAAAAUAGGUGAUAUAUAUGCCAAAUUUAGAAAAACUUGUACACUGGUAUUUAUGAGAAAGAAUUAAUUUUUAGGCAAAAUGUAAUGCAGAGACUAUGAAAAAUUUGGUUCAAAGUAUUCAUAAAAUAGGUGAUAUAUAUGCCAAAUUUAGAAAAACUUGUACACUGAUAUUUAUGAAAAUAAUUAAUUUUUAGGCAGAAUGUAAUGCAGAGACUAUGAAAAAUUUGGUUCACAGGAAUUUAUAGUGCUCUGUUUUGUGAACAAAAACUUACAGCUCUCACUCCUGCUGUUUUGAAAUAUCUUGAAAUAAUGAUUUCAGCAACUGCCUGCAGUGAAAAUAGUGGAACAUCAUAUUGAUGAACUCGAGGGCCAGAAUUAAGGAGCCGAUGUUAUCAUGAAGUGCCAUGAUUAUAUCAUCAUCAUCAUCAUCAUCAUUCGAUGAACUGUGCGAGAAAACCAAGAUAAAAAGUCGGGAGAGUGAUAGGAAACAUGAGAUUUCAUACAACUCUUGAGCCUGGCAGCACAUUUUAUUCUCCGGAUUUGGGCCUGGAAAAAUAAGUCACUAAUAAAUUUUCUUUCUGAUUUUGCAUACCUUCACUUCAACACGAGAUAAAUAUGGUCUCUUUUGUGCAUCAUGUGAAAAGCGGACCCUUCCACGUCUUUCCCCAGAUUUUGUCCACUCUUUAAGGACAUCUGGGUUCUUCCAUAACUCUUCCAUGUCUUCCGGAGAUGCUCUUGAGUCCCAAUAUGUCCAUCUGUCACCUGCUCCAAAGAUCCGUCACAAAAAUUGACAGACCAAAGAAAGCUUGAUGACAACACACAUGAUAUCAAAGCAUGAAACAGAAGUUCUUGAAGCUAAUAGUAUAGUCGAUAUUCAAGUUUUCACAAUUCAAACUUUAAAUAACUUGACUUCCGCCUUGUGUGCCCGAAAUAAGAGUUGUACUAGGGAAAUCAUUCCAAACAGAGAAUCUGGAAAAAAAUCAAUUUAAAAUUAGAAAUUUAAAUAUGCUGUUGCUCUGAAAUCUGUAUGGCCAUUGGAAACUUUGGUGGGAGGAAGGUUAGUCGGAGAUAUCAUAGCAAACUAAAUCAUGAUUUGCCUUUCUUCUAUGGUAUUUUUAAUCGCUGUGAUGGUGAGAGAGAAGCAAAAGAAAAUUGGCAACAACGUAGAAAGAAAAUCAUUUAUAGAGCUGAAACAUCGUUGGAGAAGUGAGUAAUUUCUGCAAAUAUGGAGAUAUUCGGAGAAAUGUCUCUUCACCACUUGCUUAUCAAGGAAUGCUCCUUUUUUUUUUGGUAUGGUCUAGAUUUUUAGAUUCUAGGUAAAUGUAAAGGUAGUAUUCAAUUUCAUAUAUUUAUUACCUCAAUAAUUUCAAGACAUUUUUAUUCAUACAAUUUUGAUACUUAGAUGGCUUCAGAAAAAAGCUCCCCUUACUAGUGUAAAAUAGGCAUCAAACAACUGUGAGCCUGUUUGGCCAAAUGACAAAAAAAAUUUCUUGGCUGAUCCAUCCUUUUCAUUGAUGAGAUAUUUCUGGGAAAGAUGCCACAAAUAAGUUGACUUUACACACAACCAACUCAUGGAACGGAACCAUUGCAUGCUUUCCAACAAGAACUCUUAAUGUUAAUGAAGAGGGAGAGCUAGAUUGUCUCCUUGGAUGGCUGUCAUUUGGUGUACGGCCAUUUUUGAGAGGCCCAACAAUAGACUCCACUGGUUUUCUUCGGUUGCUGGUAUACUAGUUUGAGAAAAUAACACAUAUCUAGCAUAUACAUGCAUUCACGUCUAUAUAUGUCCGCAUUUCUACUAUUUUUGGACAUGACUCCUUUAUGAAAGUAUUAUCUAAUAAAUAUUUUUUUCUCUUUUAACGAGAAAAGUGACUACCUGCCUUCAGUAAACUAGGUCCAGCCACACCAGCAGAUUCAGGCAUCAAAGAUGUGUUUCCAGGCAUCGUUUGUGAUUCUCUGCGUAAGAAUAAGAAUACCAAAAAAAUUUUAUAUAAUCUUCCAAUAUAAUCGCAAAUGAUUACAUAACCCCAAAUUAGAAAGGUAUCCCUUACUGCUUACGAAUAUUGGUGGUCAUGGGUACAUUCAAAAUGCAAUGUCUUCGUUUAUUACACAAGCUUGCACAAUCCAGAGCUUAACUAGUACAAAUGAUGGGGUGAAAAAUGGUCCAAAUAAGCUAGAAUGAAAAACCAGCAUUGAUGAAAACCGGUCAUAAAAAAUAUGGGGAUUCAAAUGAAACUCAUUGGGCCAAAUUUGGCUUGCAUUAAUGGAGCAGUACCCAUUUAUAGUAUAAACCCCAUGAAUCUAAACCCCAGGCAGUACCGGCUCUAGCCACUGGACUACCAACGCCUUGGUGACGUCAUAUGUCCAAUAUGAUAACUAUGUUGCCAGGAUAAUGAGAACAUGGAGUUAAAAAAUAACCUCCAUGAGGGCAAGCUCUGUUUGGCAGAGAGGUAUCUCUGGAAGUAUUCAAAUGUUGACUUGUGAGUCGCCUUCUUUGUGCCACCUCGGUAAGCUCUGACAAUAAAUUCCUCAUCCCUUUCCCUGCACAAAUUAGAACUAGUUUUUUAGGGUCAAAAGUAAUACUUAAUAACCAGAAGACGAUGUCACAGAAAAUAAAAUGCCAAUAACAACAAACUUACUUUCCAUCAUAACCGGAUAACCAGUGUAUAUAAGCAGCACCAAAAUAAAUAUUGAUUAAAGGCCUGUAAAGCAGCUCCGGGUUGCCCUCAAUUCGAUAACUCUGAUAACCCAUCUCCCUGAAAAUUCCAGUUACAAUGACUCGCACAUAUUUACAACAACUAUGCCAUCAAGAAACACUUCAAUGCCCUAAGUGACUGACAAUUAUCAUAACCCAUACCGAACAAGCCACUCUGCAGUUUUUUGAGGCACUAGCAUUAUCCCUAACCGAGUUUCUUUCGUCUUUUUAUCAUGUUGCAGUGCAAGAGGCUGUCUGUCACUUUCAAUGUCAGCAAGUGCGCAAAUCAUCUCCUGCAGAAAAAAGUAAAUGCCAAAAAUAUGUUGAAAGACAAUAAAAAGAAAUUAAUCCUUGUUAUAUACAGGAUGAUCAUUGCACAAAUCAAAACUGAAAUGAAAAUAUAUGAAACAUCAAGUUUUAGGAAUCAUGUAAAUCUGCAUGAAAGAAGACGAGAGAAAUAUUCAACUUCGAGGAAUUUAUAUUUUCUCGUAUAUAUGAACUUCUUUGCAGGAAACGAAUAUAAUAAGUAUACAAAGCAUAACAAACAAAUCACCAGCACUCUUACUUUGGCGCGUUGUUCUCAUGGUAAGGCCACAUCUUUCUCCGAAUAAGAGAAUCUCAAGUGUGGAAGUUUCAACUGUUAAAAUCAAUCUCUUGACGAGAAAGAAAGUGCAAGAAUAUUUUUUUUCCAUCCUUGCAGUGAUUAACAUGUAGACUAUAUAGAUUGUCAUUCUGUUUUUUGGAAGUGGUAUGACACCGAUAAUUACAUAUCAGCCACAUCGUAAGAGGUGCCCCCAACUGGUAGAAGGUGAACCGGUUGAGUCAGUGACUGAAAGAGGGGAUAAACCGGUUCCAAGAAACGGUUAGCAGAAGAGGCUAAGGGGGGACCGCGGACGUAUAAGAAGGGGGGGGAGAUCAGCAACAGAAGGGAUCCGGAGACAGCGGACCUAGUGGAGAGUGAGAGGAUCUCUCGAACAUCCUCCAAGGUGACUAGUCACUCCGACUGGUCAUUUCUACCCUCAAUGUUAUUGUUCUAUUGUAUCCCUGUUCAUCAAUUCAAGAAGUGCUUUCCUUUUAAUAUCAAUUGGUGUUCUACCAGGAAGUUUUCCUCUUGUUCUCCGUGGGUCAUCUGAUUAGCAUGCUACUUCUCAUUUCUCAAUUCUUUGCGAGGUUUAUCAGGCAUUGAGGAAGAAGUACUGAUAAAUUAACCACGUGUCAGCUUUCUGUCGGACUAAGGAAAGAAGAUGGGCAUUUGGGUACAGAGGUUAGAAGGAUAAAAAAAAAUGUGGAUGGCAAGGAAGGCUAUUAGAGAUGAUAAAAGCGUGUCCAAAGUGAGGCAUCAUAAGCUGGUUAGUGACUGUUGGCAUCUUUAAUAUUAUCUUGAGAUACAAGUGGCUUAACAGGCAGUAAUUACAUGGUUUCGCAUGUCAAUGACAUGUCAGCAAAAAAAGAAACGCAAACCAAAGAAGGAAAGAGAGCAAUAGGGAAAAUAAAAUUUGCUGGCGAAGAGGAUUUUCCGGGGGGGAGCAGGGUUCCACACCCUACAUGGAAGAAUAGCGACAAAUAGGAACCCAUCCGAACUCCAAUUUCUAUACCUCUGUGAGAUGCAGAUUAAAGUAGGCAGAUAAAACCUAUGAAAAAUGUAACCUUUUCACUUUCAAACCAUGAAAAACAGAGGGAUCUUCCUAUACCUUCUCAUACUGCUGUUAAUUUUACCAUUGCCAGAAUCUCCUCAACUCAAAACCAAAAAAAAAGAACUUAUACAUUUGAACUUCAAACUAGAAAAAAAUGAACUUUGUCCUGAUUUUGCAACGAAACUCCGCAAAUUUACCACGCUGGGAAAAUAUGAGUGAAGAAAUAAUAAAUGAGGCAGAUAUCACAGUGUCCUCUCAGCAAAUAAUUGUUCAACUUUAUUUGCCAGGGCUCACCUAGUUAACAUGUAGUAGAAACCAAACAUGCUUACUGGAGAGAUACUGGCUUAAUAGUGUUUAGAAUUAAUCGAAAAUAAGAAUAUAGCUUCAAUUAAAAUUUGAAAAGAGAGAAUAGUACAGAGGGGCCGACAGGAGAAAGCUGAUUGUGGAUCUGAAUGCUGUAACCCAAAACAUGCUUACCACCUUUAAAAAGAAAACAUAAUUUCAAUAAAAAUAAUCAAAAGAGAAAUCAAAUGAAACAGAGAAAAAAGGCCUUGACAGAUGUGCGGUUCAGUGACAGAUUCACAAAUCUUUCACCUUUUUUUAUUCUUAGACUGGACUACAGUGGCGAGCAGGAAAACUUUGGGAUCACCCCCAACCUGACAAUGCCGGGGAAGAUCACUGAUGGCGGCCUCCCUGUCAGUGCCUACGGUGGCAGGAGGGAGAUCAUGGAGAUGGUGGCACCGGCGGGGUCGGUGUACCAGGGGAGGACAAAACCUCAAAACGUGGAUCAUAGAACAUGGCUAAUCCAAUUGCAAGAAUCAAAUCUAAUAUUAAAAACUAUGGGAAACUAUCUGAUUCGUUUUUAUUCAGAGAGAGAAUCAUCCAACUCUAAAUACUUAUGACAAUUUCUAGUCUCGGAUAGGAUUCAUUAAUUCUCAAUCAUUCUCAGUCCGGGCUGUUUCAAAAAGUCCUAGUGGUAAGCUCAAAGGCAGAGUAAUAAGACUAAUUAACUUAUUAUUUGUCCAGAGAAAUAAUAGCAAGAACCUUAAGAGUGACUCCAGGCUAUUCUUCCAUACACAAAGGAAGCCAUAAAUAUCAGGAGAUGCUCUACUAUACAAAUUUUGUAAACCAGUGAAUGAGACUACCGUUAUAGUGAUAUUCAAAGGGUAAACGAAACAAUGUAUGCUUAGAGAACAGAAAUUACUGGUUCCAGCUGCGAUGGGAAGUGUCUGCGAACAAUAAUUCCAGCCACUGCCUGAAUCAAUGUUAAAAUUAUUUUUCGUAAGUUGACCAGAUGUAUCCAAAAAAAAAUUAAAUAUUAAUGGGUGUGAAUGCAAUGUUCCUGAAAAACAUAUAGGUACUCAAAACUUAGAAAUCUUCAGCGAGGUGACAAAAGGUUGACCUUCCAGUAAUUUUUCUAAGUUGGACAAGAGAAAGACCAAAGCUAGAAGUCUGUGGACAACUUUAACGAGAAGACAGUGUUACCACCAUAAUCUUACACGACUUUGCUCAAUAGUAUGCAAAUAUACUCGACUAAGUUUUUCCAUAUGAAAUGUGAACGAGACAACGUAAUACAUUCAGACAAGGUUAAACAAAAUAAUCAUCCAGUAAUGAUCAGAUCGCAAACUAUCGAGGAUGAACAUAUCCACUGGAUAUACGGUAUCUCAGGUGAUACAGUAGUUCAAUUUAUUUCUCCCCUUCAUAAUAAUACAGAUUCGUCUAUUUCUUUUCGGGGCAAAAGACCUUGUAAACAGCUAGAAAUAUGUUCAAUUUACCCUCAUUUCCGUUUGCGUCAGAAAAGGCUGACCGUCAGGAUCCCUUGAGAGGAGGACUUUCUUCCCUCUACUUUCUCCGGCGUCCGCCCACUCCUUGCUUACGUCUGAGUCCAUCCACAGCAAUUCCAUAUCCUCUGCGUCCACGCAGUCCUCCCAAUAUUUGAAGCACACAGACAUUUUAUAACGAUAAAUCGGAGCGUCGGUACGCUAUAUACCAACAAAAUUUUUGACAAAAGAUUGUAGCUGUCUGUGGAACCUGACAUGGCAGACGAGAAAAAUUCAAAUAGGAAAAAGGUAUUAGUAUUUAAGACAAGUUUUCCUGACAGGAAGAAACUAUACACCUUAUUCUUAUGAAUUUAUGGUAACUCUGUUUCAUCAUGAAUACACUAGCUGCUUAUGUUCUUCAAUUCUAAAUCAGUUAUAGAUGAUAACUUCUAGUACCAUUCAGAUUACCAGACUUGUUGAACAGCCAACAACUUUGGGAUUUUAGGCCGGGCAGCAAGUUGUGCAUGCAGUGGUGCACUGUACUGAUACUUGGCGUCAUUUUGGCAGACUGGGGCCACCACCAGAUUAUGACAUUUUCGGUUAUCAAUGCUGAAAAAAGAGUGGUCGACAAAGUCCCUAGAAUAAAUUUAUGCGCUCCAAAAAAAGGUCUGCUAGACAUAGUUUAAAAAAUGACCUCUUCCUUGUAUUUCGAUGGUCAAGAUGGAUUUAAUGCACUCAUCAUUUUAUCAUAGUUAAUAAGAAGACUACGAACAUCAAGUUUGAAUCUCGUUGGUAUCUAGCAUCCCAAACGCCUUAGAAUCAGAGAUUAUUAAGCCCUGGGAAAUCACCAUAAGAGGUUCUUAUGGCUGCUGAGAAAAUCCAGGCACCGGACAUAGCGGAAAGAAAACCACAAGCCCUUUACCAGAUUAUACGUGCCAGAACUGUAAUCAACAGACAUGUCGUAAAAGCGUCUAUAAAUAAAUGAAAAUACUUCAUCAGAACUUCAUAAAGAAAUAACUUACACUCAACAAGCUUCGAUAUGUUUUUUCACUUUUCAAAUGCCCGGAAAAGAAAAAAAAGUGGCGGACUCGUCGUGAUCAAGGAUGAGAGGUGAGGAAACGAGAAUAAUGCACAGAAUGGGGAAGAGAUAGCAGAUCAACCUCUUCUUUUGGCGCAUUAGCCGGCGCGGGGCUCUCGGAGGAGAGAGAUGGGAAAUGUGAGAGAAAUUGAGGACAAUCUGAGAGAAACCCAGUUCGAUCGGUAGCGAGAAAGGGAAGGAGUAGAGAGAAACGGGGUGGAGGACGAGAGAUGGCGACAGGAGAGCAGGAACGCGGGUGGCGAGGGGCAACGGAGGAGAGGAUCGCCAACGGACCUGCGGGUGCCACGUAGGACAAAGUUCUCGCCUACAGUCCGCCGCGAAGUGGCACAUUCAAGAACCCAAACCCGGCCUGGCCCAUUAAAUAAAACUCUCUCUCUCUCUCUCUCUCUCUCUCUCUCUCUCUCUCUCUCUCUCUCUCUCUCUCUCUCUCUUAAUGCUGAAUUAUUUAUUAAAGAAAAAAAGCGGGCGUCAAGAAGUAAAUUCCUAGGAAUUGCCAUAUACGGCGAGUCCAGAUUUAUUUUAUAAGGUAUAAUAUUAUUUAAUUGUUGUUAAAAUAUUUUAUAACAAAAAAAUGAUCAUGCACCUUUAAGGCAUGAUAUAUUAUAUUUGAAGAGAUAAAAUGAAAUCAGAAAGUAAUAAUACUCAUCUCAUUUAAAGCUGAUUACUGUUCAAGUCGAGCAUUUAUCGGCACCACACUUAUUUCGGAAAAUACGCUCUUCAAAGGAUAUUUUCGGAUCGGAUCGUCCGAUAAUGAUUACUGGGUAUAGAUACGUUUCAUCAGGGAAAAUAUAGAGCUCUAGAAAAUAAAAAUUAAAAAAAAUGGAAAGUAGCUGAAGAUAGACGCUCAUAAUGGUAGAAACUGAGGGCUACAUGGAAUUUUUUUUUUUUUUUGCGAAAUUCGGCAAGAACAGUUUUUGUUUUGUUGAACUGAGAAGGAAUUAUAGGGCGAAAUUGAUGCACGCGCCGUGUCUGAAUGAUCCAGAAUAAAAAGAUGAGAGGAACAUAAGCAACACCAAGAACAGCGGAUCAACUCAUCUUCUCUUGAUAAAAAAUGCAUAAACUACCAUCUGGAUGCUUUUUCAUGAUCUUGUAUCCAAAUCUAGAUGGCCCUGGUUUAUAUAAGUUUGGGAUACACCUGACGAUCAUAUCCCCAUUCCCAGGUCGUUCCAAAUCUAGAAACAAAUUUAAAGGAAAAUAAGAUGCAAGUUAAAACCAAACUUUGGAUAAAAAAAAUUCGGACAAAAAGUUAUGUCUGAUGAUGAAAUCAUACGCCAUGCUAAGAAAAAAAAACCUGUUGGUCAACGGGUUCCUGUAGAAAAUGGGGGCUCAGGGACGAUGAGGAUGAAGCCCAAUUUCCGAAUCCGAUUUAAGAAGAGAAAAGAUCGGCGCUCACCUCGGAAGGUGUUCCGCUCUUCAUCUGUCCCAACUCCAACUGGCACAGCUGCUGCAGGUCAAAGGAACCGUUCUGGAAAGAGUUGCAGGAAGUCGAGAGAGAGAGAGAAAGAGAGAGAGAGUGAGAGAGAGAGAGAGAGAGAGAGAGAGAGAGAGAGAAGUCUGACCGUUCCGACCGCGCUUGCACUUGCCAUGGCAUCUGCUGGAGGUUGCCAGAACUGCGGUGGAAGGGCAAGAUGGAGGGAGACGACUGUUGGAGGUUGCUGCUGGUGCUACCGCCGCCAUUGCCACUGCUGCUGAUGAUGCAUUUCCAGCUGCCAUUGCAGCCGCUGCUGCCAUGACUGUCGCUCCCCUCUUCCAGUAUAAGGUGAGAUGCCCGUCCUGCAGCUUUAACAGACAGAAACCCAAGCCAAAGAAAAGGAGCAAGGGGAGGGGUAGGGGAAGGCGGGCAAAGGAGCCCAAGAACAUUCUCAAGAGCUGCCAUGGCCGGUUUAAGUUCGUUCGUUGGAGUGAUCUCACAGGAGAUGUUCAAAUAGAAGCUCUACCAACACAACCAGAGAUCAGAUUCCAGGCAGCUUUCGAUUGAUUUACAUGAAUUGCUUCUAUUCAAAUAAAAGUGACUAAGAAACAACCAAUGGAUGGAGAGGACGCUCUAAAAUAGGGCUCUGAACUUUGAAAACCGAGCCCGAAUCUACAGCCUGAAAUGGGAGGGCUUUACAAGGGGGGCAUGAGGGUUCUGUACAGAAAAGAUAGGGGCGGCUUACAGGUCUUCAGGGCGCUGGAUCUCGCCCAUCAUGAUGCGGUUGCUGUGGACCUUGAAGCCCAGGAGGGAGGGAUCAAUCUGCCUGCCCUUCUUACCUUUCUUCUUGUUGCUGGCCCUGGCGGCGCCCUGGGCGCCCUCCACCUCCGAGGCCGCGCCCACCGCGUCUCCUUCUGUCACGGGCUUCUUGGGGCUCAUCAGCAUGUCCAUGAAAGAGGCCCCCAAGGGAUCCGCAUCGCUGGGUGCCCGCCGGAGUCUCGCGUCCUUCACGGCCUGUGGGACCUCGAUAGCUUGCGGCGCUGCACCUCCACCGAUACCUCGCCCGCCCUCGCCGUUGUCUACCGCAUCAGAUGAACAGUCAGCACGCAACCAAUGUGGAGGAGGACGACACUGCGGCAAGAAUGGCAGCGGGGAUAAGCUAAGCUAUUCUAUGCGGAGAAUCGGCAUACCCUCUGAGGGAGAGGUGUUCCUGGUUUCGUCACCCAGAGCAGGAAGCGGCGCCAGCUGGGGCAGUGAGUCUUGGGACGCCAAUGAGCCUUGGAAGUGGUGCUUCAGCAGAGUGUUGGGGAGGAGGCUGGGAGUAGGACCCAAAUAGUAAGUUCAUAAUUUUUGAGAAAAAAAUGCCAGAUGGCAUUAUAUGAAGGAUCAAACAAUAGUUGCAUACGAGGUGCAAUGAUGAUUGGUAAAAAAAAAAUCUGGAAACUGGCUCAUUGCCAACUCGAACAAAAUAUAUUGACAAUACCAACUCUGCUUUAACAUAUUGUUAUGAAAACCCUAACAAUUUAUGUAUUAGCCCCUUGCUAGAUGAUGCUGGUCGUCAGUAGGAUCAAAGUGUUCUGAAGCUGGCAAAACCCUGUGCCAUAGGCCGGCGGGAUGAGCCGCCCAAUUCAAUAUCACAUUUGGAAUCAUAUUUGGUCCGUAAUAAAUUGGGCAGCCUGUCUCCUUCAAUCCAUCCAAAUCUAACGAAAAAAAACUCUUAUAAACAAUAGACGACAUAGAAACUUCAACUUCGUCAAUGCUAAGCAAGGGGCUCUAGAGAACAUAGGUGCAACAAGAAGGCAAACCCAUCGCCCUCAAGAAACGGGCAUGAGUCUGAUGGAUAGAAACAGUAAGGAGUCCCCCUGUUUGCUUCUGGGAGGUGCACCUCAUAAUAGUAACAGUGGUCGGUGACAAGGACAGAUAAGCUAGAGACCAAAUGUCACAACGGACGGUUCAAAAACAACAACAACGAAAUUACACAGGUCCCUCGUCACUUAUAACCAUGGUUAUUAAUAAGAACAGGGAUAACCAAUCUGGAUCAGGAAUGGAUCAGUCAAGCAGGCGAGUUAAGAAGAAAAGUGCAGCCAUGGUUUUUAAAAAUACUAGCUGCAUAAGCAUUAAGGUGAGGCACCAGCUGACGAGUCAAUACGAUAAAGUCUAAUAAAAAUUAUAUGCUACUAAUAUAUUUCAAAAAAUUAAUAUGAAUGAUUAAAUAAGAUAUAAAGAAUAUAAUGGAAUGAUAAAUAUAGCAUAAACAAUGAUGCAUGAAAGAGAAUCCUGCCACAAACAUGUGAGAUCACACUAACACGAGGAACAUGUGCAUGUCAAUGCAAGUAUGUCCCAAAGGCAAUAUCCACGUGUCUGUCAUGACAGCUUUGCCAUUGUAAAAAGAUAAUGAAGAAAACCAGGUAAACAAAAUAAAUCAGGAAAUUUCGUGAGCAAAAAUUAUUUAAAAACUUCAACAACAAGAACCAUAAUUGAAAUAGAAAUUAAAUAAGAUCAUUCUACAUCUCAUUCAGAAUUCGCUAUACCUAUCAGUAUUCAGCUCUCGACUGGGCUCACUUUCCACAUUCAUUUCAAUGUUGUAUAAACCCAUGUUUCCACCUGCACAACAUCAUGAAGCUAUUGAGCUAAAUAAGAAAAACUAGUUCAAUGAUUCAACGAAAGUAUCCUAGCAACUGUCUCAAUUCUUAUACUGAAUGAUAGGAUUAAGGAUAAAGAAUUUUUUUGGGACCAACGAAACCAAAAAAAGAAAUUGUCAGAAACAUCACCAAGAAUCUCCGGAGUUGAUCCCUUUGCUGAUUUAACUUUGGACCAAGGUUUUUUGGCUUUCACACCCUCUUUCGUAUCCAAGAAGUCCAUGCUGGAAUCUCUAUAUAUCGCCUGAUUUGUUUCAUUCAUAAUAAGAGAUUGUCUAUCUUCUAGUAAUUCUCCAGAAAUAGGUUGAUAAGACAACCUUUUGCCGCUUUCAAUACUGUUGGUCUGUCCAUCAGGAGCCACGUUCACUAACUGUUCCUGGGCAAGGAGCCUCAACUUGGAUCCAUAGGGAUCCUUUGCGAAAGUAUCCCGACUAUUUUGGUCCCCACGCAGAUUGAAGGGGUGAUCUGAAGCAGGUCCAGAAAAGGGCCAAUUAGCAUCUCUGAUGCCAUGAGAUGAAUCACGAGGAUCAUUAACCAUAUCUGGUGGCAAGGAAUGGAUAUUCAAAUCUUUCCCAAGCAAGCCCAUUAGAGACCGUGCAGAUUUGUCAUCAUUGCCUACUGUAGCCCAGGCAUUGGGAUCCUCAGGUCCGAGAUUCAUCAUAAAAUUUAUCCUCUGCCUUUCAGCUUCGAGGCGUAGUUGGUGAGGCUGAGACUCCAUCAAACUCUUUGGAAACUGCCCAUCAGGCUCGGACAUGUGGAUGGCUACUGAGUCCAUAUGCGAUGCAUUAAAUUGAUUAGGAAACUGCUGAGGGCGCGAGCGAACAUUGGAAGGAAACUGACCAGCUUGACCAGAAUGAUUUACAUUCCCGAAUUGAUCCUGAAGACCUAAUCCUUGAAGUCGUGACAUGAGCUCUGUGUUGAACCCAGUAGCAUCAACAGGGGAAGAGAGUGGCCUCUCAAAAGGUUGUGUUCUUGGUUCAAAAAGAGCAUGUUGCAUAUGCUCACGCAUGGACAAGCUAUGAUCAAAAUGGCCUGAUUGCUCAAAGGCUGGCCGGUUCUGCUGGCCUUGGAGACGAUCCAACUGAGCGAGACCAGAGGAAUGGGACCAAUGACGACCUGAAGGUGUUCUCACAAGCUGGCCGGAUUCGUCCACUGACCAAGACCUUCCAAGAUGUCUCUCAUCCUCCACGACUGGAAGCUGCCUUUGUCCCCCUGGAAACUGUUGGGCCUGAAGCUGCUCUUGUUGAAGCCUAAGAAAGAACUGUUGGUCCAAAAGUCCUUGAUUCUGCUUGGAGUGCAAGACCUCCAGCAAAUCUUUUGGAUGCUCCGGAUGCUGCCUGUGUCCAAACUUUGCCUGUAUAAGCUGCUCCAAAGAUGGAUCGUUGUGCCUUGGUUGAAGAGACUGUUGCUUCAAAUGAUGGUGAAGACGUUCCUGAAAGACAAGUUCAUCGUGCAUAGCUUUCCUCUGGAGAGGCUCAACGUGGGAAGGCCCAAAAGGAGGUUCAUGCAUCUGUCGCUGCAGCAACUGCUCCAAAAGCAAAUGUUGCACAUGAGACUGUUCAUUUUGCUGCUGCUGGCGCUGCUCCAGUAAUUGCAAUGGGAGGUGUUGAAGCUCUUGCUGCUGUUGGAGCUGCAAAAGCUGUUGCUGUUGGAAUUGAAGUUUCAAAAGAUUCUCCAACUCGGGUACAUGUGGACCAAUUACUUGCUGAUGAUGAGGGCUGUGGAGUUGUUCCAAAUGAAGCCGUUGAUGUGGAGUUGGCAAAUUUUGCUGCUGAAGUUGUUGCAACUGAAGUUGUUGUAAAAGCAUCUGAUCUUCAAGACCAAGUCGACCAGAGUCUUGUUCGAAAUGAGACAGCUGGUGGGCAACCAUUGAAUCAUGAAAUAGGUUUGGAUUUACACCCCCAUGUCUACUGCUGACAUUUGGCCACAUGUCACGAACAUCACGUAAAUCACCAACUGAACUAGAGUCAAGUCGUUGCCCAAGAUUAGAUAUAUUAGUUUGCAGCUCAGGAUGCCCCUGGUUAAUGAUUCCAGAUAAAUUUGUUGAUAAAGGACGCUUCUGGUGAGCUUCUAGCUCAGAAAGUAACAGCCCAAGAGGAUGUGCAUCAUUAUCAGUCAGAACCUGACGCCCGGGCAAGUUUACAUCUUCCGUUUCGCCAGUAGAAAAGUCAUGAAUGCCCAACCGGGAAGGAUUCGAUAGGAUGUUCGGAUUAGUACUCAAUGACCUUCCACGAUAUAACACUUCUACAACAUGAAGCAAACAAGCUCAGUCAAAUUCCUAAAUACGAUAAAUGAGAAAUAACAUAAAAUAUACCAAAAAAAACUAAAAAGUCAAGUAACUAGAAGAGAGAAUAAACCUUCAAUGUCUGGCCCUGUAUGCUCACGAAAGCUCUGGUUCUCAGCAUGAUAAUUACCAGAUGAUAUAUCCGGCCUGGAAGAAGGAAAGCUACGAUCAUGCAGAUCAAUACGAUCAGAAUGUUUUGACAUUCUCUGUCCACUUAAAGCACUAGAAACAGAAACGUCCGGAACUUCUUCAGGAUUUCCUUCAAUAGCAUCUGAUGAUUCUGACUGAUCCCCAGAGUUAUUGACUAGAACAGAUCUAGCUCUGAGUUUCAAAUGUGGCAUUACAUCCCCGAGUUUUUUGAAAGGUGUGCCUUCAGGAGCAUCUGCCAGGCAUACGGGUAAAUCAGUGCCAAAAAAUCCCUGAUCAAACCACGAAAUAAUGUCAACUCCUAAAAACGGUCCCUGUAUCUCUCCCUGAGGAUCUCGGUAAAAGAAACUCAAUUCUUCUGGAGGGAUACCCAGUUCAAACUUUAUUUCAUGAUUAUUCUUUUGAUACGGUUCAUUUGUACUAACAAAAUCCUUAAAAAAUUGCGAAUCGAAAAUGGUGGUGGACUGAUCUGGUAAUUUUGAAUGGCCAUCCAAAGUAGCAGUUAAUUCCUGGUCCGUAGUUUUACUGUUUCUCAAGUGUAAAGCAAGUCCCGGGCCAGUCAUGGCAUUUCUUAUGUCAUCGAUACAGACAGAACUAGCCCCAUCCAUGCAUGAUAAACCACCCUCAGAAGCAAUUGGAGUCCAACCACUAGUAGUCUCAGACAUCAAGUUACUAGCUGAUUUCCCAUGCUCCUCAAAGGAAGAAACUCCAUCUGAAAGAUUCAACAUUUUCAUCAAAAAAUGUGAUUGAGAGAUAAGCCAAUAAAAGUAAAAACAGUUUACUUGUAGACUGCUUAAAUGGAAAUUUAUACGUCUUUAUAGUAGCACAACUCUUGUUAUUGCAUGCCCUCAAAAAAGAAAAAAAAUUUGAAAAUUUGAAACCACCAAUACCAAGUAUAACUAGAGUUGAGUUAGUUGAUAACUAGAACCCGAAAAAGAUCAAUCUUGCCCCAGUUACAAAGUUCACUAUUAAGAGAGGAUGUUGGUAUUCACUCUACUCCUGUACCAAAAGUGCACCACUACCCUUCUUGAAAUGAAUUUCAAGGUAAAUGCACUAGUCCAGUCACCCCAAAAAAUCACUGUAUCUCAAAUUGGACAUGUCCAACCCUCAUCCAGGAUAAAAGAAACCAGUUUGGAAAAACAUUACAAAAGGAAAGUACUUUUUGAAUGUAAAAUGCAUUAUAGAGAUAAAUAAAAAGGUAGAAAAUUUAAAAUAAGAAAUCAUAGAAAAUACACAACCAUUACCCUGCCCCCAAACCAAGACAUUUCUUCACGAGUAUUCCACAGCAAGAGUUUAAGGAAAAAGAAGUUGGGUGAAAGACCACCGCAGAAAAGGCGCUGGGUGGUAGCAGAGUUAACUAAUUCCUUUUUUUCUUCAUUCUACUUUUUUUAUUGCCUUCCUUCCGUUUCCUCUUUCUCUACUGCCCACUGCAUCAACAUCACUUCUUUCUCCCCUCCCUCCUGCUCCAAAAGGACAAGUUCGACCUGGAAAUAGCCAUCUGAAAGAGGCUGGCUGAUUCCCAGCGACACUUCUUGUGUAUUUUAAAGUGAUAUUGGGAUUUCACUCGUGAGCUUAUCAGGAAUAUCUGAUUCCAAUGUGAGUUGGCAGAAGCUAUGAAUCAUCACCCUGACCUACAUAUCCCAUCUAAUUACACUUUAACCGUUGAAAAAAAAUUAAGACUAUGUAAGCGAAUGCACUUUCAGAAAUCCAUUAUCACGUAUAAAAAAAUUAUGGAAGCAGAAAACAAAAGUCAUAAGGGUAUUCAUGUCUAUUAAAAACAUAACAGUAAGCCUUGAAAGAAAUUAACUCAUCUAACUAUAAACUUUUUAUAUGUGGUGAGAGCACAUAAGAACACACGCAUUAGGAAGGUUGCAACCUAAUGUUUAACCCAAAAAAAACUGAGAUGGAAAUAUCUUUUACCAGUUCUUUGAGAGGUGCUGUAAUGUCCCCCUUUUGCAAGUAAUUCCUUUAACUCGUCAGUAGAUUUUGUGCUGUAUCUACCAUCAGCUAGUUUUAUGUUAUUCUCCCCUGAAUGAAAAAAUUGAACACGGUUAAAGAAAUUGUCUGCAGCAUGUCAUACUAGAAGCACCAAUAUCAUCUUACCAGUCUCGAAGUCAUUGAAUUUUGACGUCUUCUCUCUGGCAAAACUAUAAGAUACGUCACUAGAGGUAAUUUUUCCUUUCCACAUUUCUUCUAGAACAGCCUGCCAUAUAUUUCAAAAAAUGUUAAAGAUACCACACAGAGUUCCAAAAUACAAAAAAAAACUUUUCUGCCAACAAUGAGACAGGAAUAGUAUUAAAGAUAUGAAAAACUUCCAAAACAUAAAAUAAAUUUGAUGUGUCACAAUAUCAUAAAAUAAACAGGGUAUUGCAUGGAUCGCAGAAUCAGCAGUCAACUAAUAAAAAUUCUGAAAACAAAGAUCUCAUGUGAAGAGGUCCUUUGCGGACAAUUAUCAAUAAAAAAUUCGAGGCAUGGCAACCAAAAAAUUUCUGAAGAAAAGGCAAGGCACCCAACUGACACCACCAAAUUCUUGACGUUUGUAAGACAAAUCCUUCUUUUGAUUGAAGGUACAGUGGUUAACAGAAAGAAUUUCAGGUUCACAUAUACUCACAAGUCAACAAUACAAUCUUAUUUGAGUCAACUCAUGAAACGAAAAUUAAAAAAGUAAAAAUGCAUAGUGGAUACCGAAUGCAGUGCAGUCUAAUAGAGAAUACGGAUUCAUCAUCAUAUAUCAACAUGUAACUACCUGUUCAUCAUAUACCAAGCGAUCCUGAUCUGUAUGUCUGUGGACAGACUAAAAACCGAAGACUAAAUCUAUCCUCGACUUCCAUAAAAUUUGCAUUUUCAGGAUAGUGGGAUUCCAGCGGAAUUCGAGGGUAAUUGCUGUUGGGACAGGGGAGGGGAGUCGCAAAAAACGCGAGGGAAGGUAAAUGAUCAUCACUUUCGGUAAGACAAUCAAUAAUAAAGUCAACAAUUAGUAUCGGACAUGUAAAAAUUAGACGACUAAAAUUCACAAAAAAUAUAUGAGUCCGUGCAACAUCCCCAUUCAAAUAUGCUGGCUCAUCGCAUUUCAAUCUGCUCGUUCCUCAAAAUCCAACAGUAAUCUCAUCGUGCCAGGGAUAACAGUCUGUCCUGGAAACUACAGAUUUUGCCCAUAAACAUGCAAAACUCUUCCCCGCCACUAAGUGCAGAUGUCAACAAGGUUGUCCAUUGGUUAACUCCGGUUAUUACAGUCUACCAAUGACAAGAAUAUUAUGAUUUUAACCUGCGGAGUAACAUAUAAACCUUAUUGAUCAGAUAGCGUCAAGUAUUCAAAACUUUCCACUGAAUCAAAACUGGUAGGAAGAUUCUGGCAGCCACCUUUCUAUGCAAAAACGACACAAAUCUUGCAACAACAAAGCAUGGAAUAACUACUAUAGUUUGUCUAAUUCAAGCAUUCAAUAAUACAACAGUGACAAAAACAUCAAGUAAAAGCAUAGGUACUAAGCAAUGAAAAAUAAGGAUUACCUCCUCCUCUGCAUCAGGGGUUACAAAAGCAAGAGGAUCAACUUUAUUUGAUUGGGUUAUUGGAGGAACUUCCUCCAGGCCAUCAGGCAGAGCAUCAAAAGUUGAAACUAAUGAACGUUUUCUGUAAAUAUCAAGAAGCUUUCCACGAGGGUAACGGAAAGUGUCAGGAGACAGGCCAUUUCUAACCAUAGCUUCACUCUUAAAACCGAUAGGACCAGCUACAGAAGGCCUCCCAAUGGGAAAACUUCCAGUAAGGUUCGACCUCCCACGCCCAGAAGCAAAUCCUGUAAUUUGGCCAUCAGCACGACCUCUAUCCAAACCAAAACCUGGUGCUGCACGGUAAACGGUCGAGCCUCCAGAUUGAACAUCCUGUCUAUGACGUGGUCUCCACUUGUCACGAGCAUCACUUUCAGAAGUUGCACGAUUCGCCACAACAACGGGUUGUUUUUCAGUGUGGGUAUCAUCUUUGUCAACAAUAACUUUUUUCUCAGUUCGAGGGUCUUCCUUAUCUUCCGGACCCCAUCUUGAUGACCAUUUGCUGUCCCUACGGUUUUCAUGUCCUGAGGUACGAAUAUUGCCUUCAUGCCAUUUGUCCGAUAGCGGCAUGCUCUUAGAAUCAGCUUCUCUCAUACUACUAGUGUCAACACGACGCUCACUUUUUCUAUACUCAUUUUCCCUGUCUCCUUCCUUCUUGCGCUCUCUCCUAACAAGUAACCCAGUGUCCCUUUCCUCUUCACGCCAGCGGCGACUAAUAUCCAUCUCUGGAGCAGCCCUUCGCCAAUCCUUUUUUUCUUGCGAUCCAUCAAGACGCCAACCAUCCUUUUGAAGGGGUUCAGACGAAAUUCCAUGAGACAGAUUAUGUUGACCACGGAUUUCCUGUCACAAAAAAGAUCACAAAUUAUUUCGCAAAAUAUUGACACAGAAAAUGGGUUACCAGAGUCAAACAUAAAACCACCACCAAGAACAUAUUAAACACAAAGAAACAUCUAUCAACAAAGUCACUAAGGAAAUCAUCAUGCAUAACUUGAAAAGACCAAUUUCAUGACCAGUAAAGGUUAUGGCACCAUCCCAAAGAGAGCUCUAAAACAUCAUGAUAUAACCAGAGUAAUCAUGAGCAUACCACAACCAUAAAGUAGAUAGCAAAGAAGAUCUUACCAGACAAAUGAAAACAGAUUAAAAACAGCAUAUUACCAAAUGACAAAUGACCCCUCAUUUUAGCGUUUCAAAUUAAAAACAGAUUCAUAAAAUAAUUCCUCAAUGGUACAGCACUCUUCCUAAUUAAGGCACAUGCAGUGGCACAAGAAAACCGAAAACUGCAUACCGAGAUCAAAAACAAAAAAUAUUAUAAAAUAGACAUAAUAAUUUGAAUUGAUGUACACACAGUCUUAAAAAACGGCAUGAAAAUUUAUGUAAAAUACAAUAUUUCCUCAGUUACCAUUCUCUACUUAAUGUUUAUUUAGGAAACACUUAAAAAAAUAGUUUAUUUUUCAGAAUCAAACAAUAAAAUGAAAUAAAUAUGUACGAAUAUAUACAUAGCUAGAUGACCAAAUACAAACAACUCACGGUAAAAAAAAUGACGUCCAAUGUAAUAGGGAAAAAAUGGAAGAAACAAGAGAUGUCAUAGUCAGCAGAAGCACUUCAAAAUGUAGUAAAUAAGGGUAAACAUAAUCAAAUAAAGAAAUAUGAUGAUACUCGGUUCAGAUGUUUACCCCAGAGAAAGCUGAAUGACUAGUUUUACUCUCAUUGGUCUUAGCAUACAACCACUGAGGUGUCAAAGGUAUGUUCUCGGAGAUCAGUGGAUCUGCAAAAGAUGCAAACAAAACAAAAAUCACUGUCCAGCUAAAGUAAAAUAAUUUAAAAUGAGCGUCCUAAAGACACAUUCCUCUAAAUAUAAGAAAACUUCCACUCAUUAACAAUGACUAAUUCUUCUGAGCAAAACUUUCAUAUAAGCACCAUAGGAGAUCAUUACCCUUCAUAUUUUCAUGAUUGAUAGCAGAAUAUACUGGCUUUGCAGGAAAACCAUCAUCAGGCAAUAUCCAGGAUAUUCUUAGAUGGUAAUAAAAAAUGAUCACUUUCUCUGUGUGCAAUUAUCCUUUGCUAAAAAAGCAAAUAAGUGUCUUCUUUGAUUAAUAAAAACAACCAGAAUAAUUUUCCAAACAACUUUGCUUCAUUAUUUUAAUAUGUCUAAAUCAGAAUAUGAUCAAAGGAUAGUUUGCUGAGGUGAUACCUUUCAAAUCCUCUGGAAGUCCCAAAAGUUCCUUAUCCACGUAAUUCCCUCCAGACGUAUCAGCUGUUUCAACGAAAAAAGGAAAACAUCAAGAAAUAUGUAAAAUAAAAAAAAUCUGAACAAAUUACACGAGAGCCGCUGAUUCUCAGUUUUUCUUGUUUUCAGCUCAAGAAUUCAAAAAAGGAACAGAUAUAACCACCGUUGUCACUGUCGGACGUUGAUCCGAAAAUGACAGCGGCGCUAGGGCAGCAAAUAUGAUUCUAUCACAAUGCAACAGCAUCAGACAGUUCAGAAAAUUUACAAAUGGACUAAGAAUAUUACCAGAAUAUAUUUCCGCAGCAUAAUUCCAAAUUAAUUUAUAAAAUGGAAACUCCAAUUGAUCAAAAUUAUAAAAACAAAGAGGCGAGUUGGACUGCAGGGUAAACAAAUGGAAAUCCCAGGGUCCAGGAUCCAGUAUGAGAAUUAUAGCAUAGAUCAUGGGCAGCAUUCGAUACAUACAACAUCAGGUCACAACCAGCGUAGCAGUCACUCGGACAAAGAACACGGGAUUAAUCUACCUGGCUUGGACGGAAAGAGAUCCUCCGGCAGAUCGACCUUGCCUUCCGCCAUCCAAAAGGUGCGGGGAUUGGAAUGAAAUAGGGCUUCGGGAUGGGCGCGGGGGCGGCCAGGAAACCAAAACCGGCGUCCAACGCCAGGCGACCUUGAGAGAACCGGGCAGAUCGGGGGACAGAGCUUCGGGAGGAGAGGGAGAACCGGAGGACUUGGACGACUCUGGAGCGAAGCAGACUGGAGAGUGGACGGCGGAGGGAGCAGACGAGGGCGCCGGGAAGUGGUUCGCUCGAACGGAUGGCAAAGGAGAGAAGAGGAGGGGUGAGGGUUUCAGAGGUCGAAACGGCGAAAGGAAGUGCGAUUUGGGGAGGGGAGAUCGUGGAAAAUAUCCGCGAGUACAGAUCCAAUUUCUCUUCUUUUAGGCGCCAAACCGUUCUCGAAAUCGCCGAGGACGCGCAAGAAAGUCCACCCCUAUUUCACUCUUACUCACCGCCACAUCAACGCACACACCCCCGCCCCCCGUCUCCAUCUGACGUGGACCUUCGUCUUAAAUCCUUUACUUAUUAUUAUUGGCGUCACCAAGCCGUAGAUUAAUUGGAUAUAAAGCCUUAUCUCAUUGGGCCCCAUUUCCAUCGAUGAACACUCCUACUCUCUCUCUCUCUCUCUACAUUCGUGGCAGCUUUCGGGCUCAGUAUCAGAUACGCUUACCACGAAAAACAUUAUAGAUAAGCCCGCAUAAAUCUUACAUUUUUUUAUUAAAUUGGAAUAUUAACGUUAAGUUCGAGUAAAAAAAAAACUUGACGGGCCGGGCCCGGAUUGGCCCGGCGGAUACUGCAAGAUAAAAAUUCUAUAGAAAGAACCGUCUGGGCAUGUCCGACAAGAGAAAUCCAGAGAAAAUGAGAGAAAAAAGACGGGGUGGGGCCCAUGAGGAAGAGAGAGAGUUGUGAUCUUCUACUGAACACGAAUCACUGCUACAGAGGGGGGGGAUUGGAAGGGGGGGGGGGGAUCAGACUCUCUACUGUCUGCCCUGCCGAAUGCAGAGAGAGAGAGAGAGAGAGAGAGAGAGAGAGAGAGAGUAACUCAGUUCAACCUCUGGGCGGCCUCCUUGGCGAGGAGCUUCUCCUUGGCCUUCGUCUUGGCCUGGGAUUUUGAGCCCAUGAUGCCGCCGCCCCACUUCUUUCUGAUCUCAUCGAACUUGUCGUUGAAGUUGGCCUGCACCCAUCAUCAAACAGUUGGCUGAGCAUAUCCAUCUCUUCCAAAGAAGGGGAGAGAGAGAGAGAGAGAGGGGAGAGGGAGGGAGAUGCCCACCUUGAUGGCCUCCAAUAUCUUGCUGAAUUCGAGCUUGUCCUCGUUCUUCACUGAAGUCAGGCAUAGAACGGAUGCGGUCUUCUUGUGAACGAUCUACCAAAGAUAAGAUAAAAAGGGGGCUUGUUGAGUGAAAUCUUCAUGAAAGGAGUUCCUAAAAGCCAGAGAAAUUAGGCUUGAUAAAGGAGUUCCUUACCGCUCCCAAGCGGGCCUUUCCUUUCACAAUGCAGUAUGGGAUCUCCAUCUUCCGGCACAGAGCCGGCAGCCAUACGACCAGCUCAAUUGGGUCGACAUCAUGAGCAAUAACAACCAGCUGGGCCUUGUUCUACAACGAGAUGAUGAAAUAAUACAGCAUCAGAAGCCACAGCUGAUGGUACGGAAAUCAAUCAAGUUGAAGUAGCCCUUCCGAAUACAAAGGGAAAACCAAAAAUAAAGGGCUGUUGGUAAAGGGAUAAUAUAAAGAAUCGUCAGGAGAGAUGGCGGCGCUACCUGCUCAAUAAGGUAAGUAAUGUGAUUAAGGCCAUACUUCACAACAAUGGGCUUCUUAACCUCCACGGUCUUGCCUUCGGCCUCAGCCUGCGCCCUCUUGAGAAGCCUCUCCUUCUUAGCGGCCUUGUCCUCUGGUCUGUACUUGAGGAGCAUCUUGAAGAGGUUGGUUGCUGCAAGUGGAGAUUUUUAGGACAUCAAGUAAGAAGGUGAUGCAUCACAGAAUCGUAGCACAAAUCCCGAACGCAAUGGCAUUCAUUGUUCAAAAUGAAACCCGAUCUUUAGUCCGAACAAAAAACAUUUAAAUUCGUGACAGGAAAACUACAACUUAUCUACACUCUGCUGUUUGUAAAAAAAACUGUAAGAUGCCACAAAUAGCAAAGUGGAUAAGUCAAAAUAACUAUGAAUAGGGUUUAUGCUCCUUAAACAUCCUUCAAUCACGGCAACUAACGUAACCAAGACUACUCGGACGUGGGCAUUUUCCACCACACCAAAGCUCCGACGAGCUCACACCGAUCUAACUUUCUAAAAUGGCAACGAAGGCAUAAUCAACCUCAAUUUCAGGCAAAAAAACAUAUCCAGUAUGAGAUUCGAACCAGAGAAGCAUAAAAUAACCAGUAAGCACAAUCGAAAAUAUGUAUAUCAUCAAAGAGCAAAUGUCACGGAUUAUAACAACGUUACCAAAGAGUGAAUAAAGAUCUCGACAAAGAUCUAGCGUCAUUAGCGAAUGUUAUCCGAAAUCAGUAUUAAUGUGCACAAAGGACAACAUCUAAAACACAACAAUCAAGCUUUGAAAACCAAUCUUUUUACCGAGGUUCUUGUCCAGAGUCCUGGUGAACUGAUUCAAGGCCGGGGGAACCUUCAACCGCUGCUUAAGAAUCCUUCUCUGCCUUUGAAUACGCACUACUUUCGGCCAUUUAACGAAACGGUGCAGGUCCCUCUUAGGAGGCAAGGCCCCUCCAAUUCCAAACUGUUUCGGGCGCUUCUCGAACAAUGGAUUUACCACCUUCUCCUGUACCGUAGCCAAUGAGUCGGAGACGAAAUCCAUAAGCAUACAUCCGCUGCAUUGGAAACCAAUGCGAUGACACAAGCAACAAAGGAACAGGCGAUGCGACAAAUACCGGUUUCUUCUUCGCAGGUACAGGGGCCUUCACACCUCUUUUGGGAGCCUGUGGGAUUCAAACCAGAAAAUCAGGAGCAAAGACGACAGCGGCCACGGCUAAAAAUUAUAAGCUGAUAAAUGCACACUCCAAAGAUUGGACAAGGCCAAAAAGCUCCAUUCCAGAUAAACACAGAUCUGAGACUGUUUGCUCGUGAUUCCAAAUUAAUACGAGUGGGCAAACAUGAGAAAAAACCCCAAGGAUAAUCAUUGCCGGCGUCUAACCAUCAUCAGGAAGGACAAACAAAUGGCUAGAUCACGUAUUCGGCGGAGUAAAACUGAGUAUCAAAAGAAGGUAAGGAAAAACGGAGCUGCAAGGUACCAUGUUCUUCAGCCUACGUCCAGAGACGGUGGCGGUGGCGGCCGUCCAGAAACCCUAAAACAAACUAGCACCCGCCAAGGAGGCAGACUGUGCAAGAAGACAAUUUAUACUUCGUCGAGGGAUGGAGUUUUAAAUAGAAACCCCUAUAAAUACUAUUAUUUCUUUUUUAGGCUCAUAUUUAUACUAUUAUGACAUUCAAACCCAUAAACGUCAAUAGGGAAAAGGCACGCAGCUGAGUCUGACUCCGAUCUGAGUUGACUCACUCUCUCACAAAGGCCAGAGAUAGGAAGAAGAGACCACUAAUAUGACCUUCCCGAAGGACCCGAACUACUGCCGCCCUGAUUGGCCUCGUUGACUUGGACCCAGGAGACCAUCAUCGCUCACAUCCCACUAUGCCGCACUAGCUUACGUGGCAUUGAAUUGACCAGAAAACAGUGUGGUCCAUUCUAUUCUAUGUACGAGUCUAAUACAUAUACAUGCUUGCAUUGUAAUAAAGAAAGUAAACAUAUACCCUAAAUAAAGUCUCAACGUUUCAUUGUUUCCAUAGGCAACAAAGCGAGUUAUUUUUAUUUUCAAAGUUUUAUCUAAAAAGGUUGUAGGAAUUUGACAAAUUUCCAAGUUAUCGCCACUACUUUGAUUCAAUCAGUGCAAACAUAUUACACAAUCUAAACUCCAUACUCCUUCAAAAUUGCAUAAAUCAGCAAGAAAAUUAGAAUUAUUAUUUUUAAAAUGAAAAAGAUAAGUGAGUGAAUGUAGAAUUUAUAAGAUUAAAAUUAAUUAAUUUUUUUGAAUAUGUAAAUUAAUGGGUUACUUGUUUUGUCCUGGAUCAUUAUCACAAAAUGCCAUUUAGCUAUAUUAUGGCAAAUAACAAGUGCAAGCCUACUCAAAAAAUCUCAUGUAAAUGCUUGUUUGCUACUAACUGAACCCCCCUCACCCCCCCCCCCCCGGUCAUCAACAUGCUUCCACUUCUCUAGUUUUUCACCAUGUUAGAUAAAUGGGGCCAUAAAUUAAAUUAGUGUGACUAAUGUAGAAUUUUGCUAAGGGAGUUUUAAUAAUUUUAGAUGACUUGCAUGGAUGGUAUGCUAUAAUAUAUGAGAGAUAACUAACAAUUUAUGUGUAAUUGGGAAAUGAUUACACUCAUGCUCUUGUACCAUUGUUCUAGUUUGGUACAACCAGCAAUAGUAAGUGUUGGGGGGCGACAUUCUUGGUUGAUUUAUAUGACAAGAUGCAAAAAGUAAUGCCAACGUAAUAAUAAGGAAUUGUGGAUAAUUUACACAUUUUUUAAAAGUAGCACAGUUACCCUUUUUGCCCAUUACAAGUUAUAUUUAAGUUUUGUUGAUUUUUGUGAGCGUUCUAAAUUACAAUAAAAGGGUAAAUAUAAUAUAAUUGUAAUGAAAAUCACAUUUUUCUUAAGUCUGUUAGUAUAAAAAAAUCGAAUGUUCAUCAACUAUUAUCAUCAUAAUAGUUUAAACUUUUUAUUAUGAAUCUUGAACAUCAAUCACAUCAAUGCAAGGAACCCAAAUUGACCCAACAUUGAAGCAAGCUAAAUUGUCAAUUGGAAACAGUUCAACUUAUUUAGUUCUUGGAGAUUCUCAUAAGGUUAUUGAGCAUCAUAGAUCUUUAUGUAAUGUGUAAGGACCAGAUCAGCUGCAAGAUUGUGAUCCAAUUUGAGAUUGAAUGGAUUUAGUGAAAUUUGGCGGUCAACAUCUCCGAACAUCAAGAUAGUCCAAUGGAGUCAGCUCAUAUUGGAACCCAUGAAACCUUAGGUCCACCUUCCACACGAGAGAGAGAGAGAGAGAGAGAGAGAGAGAGAGAGAGAGAGAAUGGGCCAGCUGUGGGCAACUCAUCUGAUUAACACAUUGGAUACGACACAUAGUUUAUCUGCAUACGCAGCAUUAUAACUACAAGAUCGGAUGAAGAAUCAAUCAACGAGAUGCCCCUCUUGGGAAUAAUUUACAGAGUGUCAUUGUUAUGAAAAAAAUAUGAUCCAUCAUCUAGAAACAAGAUUUCUCCCAAAGCCUACCCCUAAUAAACACGAAUAAAUAAAAACAUUAACUAUUGAAUUAAAGGUGCCAGGAUUCACACAAUCCCAUCAGUAAAACCAAGGAUGCAUCCUGACGAGGAGAUUCUGCACACCGAGAAGCUUUUUCUCAAGAUUGUUUCCUUUUGCUAUGUGUUAGGAUCUGAGUUAUUCCAGCUUACGUAAGAAUUCCUGCAUAAAUUCCAGAUGUUUACGGAUUUCCAAACAAAUGGAAACUCUCUGAUUUGCUGAAGAUGCUUGCCCUCUUCUGUAAACAUCACAAUCAUCACUGGGCACUCACUAGAAAACACAGCUUUUCCAUGCUCCACAAGACUCUAUGACCAGCAAAAAAAUGGCGUAGUUGAGGUUACAGUAUAUCAAAAACUAGACAAUACUUACAGGGCACUCCAAAGUAAUUGCCUUAUUUAUGCUCCUGGAAGGAUAUCUUACGGGACAAAAAUGGCUAAUACAUGUUUUCCCUUGAUGGAAAACAUCUCACUCAAUAAUUACUGGGCACUUGAAAGUAUAAUCACCCUUUGUAUGCACUUUGUGAUCCUCUGGCAGGCCAAGAAAGACAGCCAUAUCCUUGCCCCUCUGUAGUAAAAAAAAUCCCAACAAUUACUGGGCACUUGAAAGUCAUCACCACAUAUGUGCCAUCUCGAGGCUCACUGAUAGGCCAAAGACGGCAAAACUCUUGCUUGCCCAAUGCAGAAAAUAUCCCAAAGACUGCCAGGCACCAGAAUUCGGCGUUUUAUAUGGUUUUCACCUUUUAUACGGCUUGAAAUGGUAAUUCUGGAAUUCGGCGCCGAAUUUCAGGGACUCUUCCUCAACCUUCGUCUUCAGUCUCCGCCAAGUUCUCACCAUGUCCGCCUGAAUGAGCCCUCGGUAGAGCGUCUCAAAUGUGACCUUCUGAGGGAGAAACCCCUUCUCUAUCAUCUCCAUGAAGAAUCGGCAGGCCUCCUUCCACCGCUGCUUCUGACAGAGCCCAUGGAUGAUCGAAGUAUAUGAAUCCAUGUCUGGCCCCACCCCUCUCUCGCUCAUGUCCUCCCAAAGCUCCCGAACAAGCUCUGAGCGGUCCAACUGCGAGAACAUCCCCACCAGGAUGUUGUAGGUGUGGAUAUCUGGUGGAGUGAGAGAUCCCCCAGUCGCCGCUGCUGUCUUCAUCUUCCUGUACAGCUUAACUGCAGAGUCCACAUCUUUCCUCCCACGGUAUUCCUUGAAGAAGCAAUUGUAGGUGGCGGCAGAAGGGUGAACUCCAUCGCUGGACAUGUCGUCGAGCAGUUUCUCGGCGUCGUCCAUCCUGCCGCAGGAAGCAAGGCACUUGAUCACGGAGGUGUAGGUGGCCACGGUGGGGCAGAUACCCUUCUCCAUCAUGGCACGGAAGAGGGAAAGGGAAAGCUCGGGCUUGUGUGCGCGGCUGUAGACGUGGAGGAGGAUCGAGUAGCUGGUGACAUCGGGCUCGAUGCCUCUGCUGCGCAUUUCCUCGAAUAGGUCUUCAGCGGCGCGAAUUGUCCCAUCGAAGCGGGUGUCCGGGUGGAGGCUCGCUCUUCUGCAGAUCCCAUUGAGCAGGACGUUGUAGGAGACCACGUUAGGCUCUAGACCGCGAUCGGAGAUCUCCCUCAAGAACUUUGCCGCCAUCUGCGGGCGAUUUAUCUUGCACCAUCCGUACAUCAAGAUCGUGUAGGUCUUCUCGUCGGGUGGGUAUCUGGACUUCCUCUUGUUGAAGAUAUCCGCGGCCAGCUUCGAUCCACAAAGACGGGGGUGGCGCAAAGAUCAGGAGAAAAAAAUGGCAGGAGAAGAGGAAGAAGAAGACGACGGCGAUGGCGAGCAGUGGGGGAGCCUCACUUUGACGUAGCCGUACUUGCAGAGGGUGUCCAGUAGGAGGUUGAACUCGGUGCCGUCGGGCGGCCGUCCGACGAAGGCCUCCAUGUCGUCGAAGGCUCUGAGGGCUUGCCGUGUGAGGCCGGCGGCGGUGAGUCGACGGACGAGGACGGCGAAGGUCCUCGGGGAAGGUCCCACGCCGAUCUGGUCCAUCUCCAUCACCAGCUGCCACACCACGUCGAAUUGGCGGACCUUCCCGAGGAGAUCGACCAUGAGAUCGUAAGCGUCGGCGUCGUGGCGGUGCCCUGCGUGGUCCCUGGCCCAGAGGAAGAACCCUAGUGCGACCUUGGAGGCAUUACGGAGGCGGAGGAGCGUCUGGAACACGAGGCCAUGGGAGAGCGCCACUGUGCCGGUUAGCUGGAGGGGGGAUUCCAUGGCGUGGAAGGGAUUGUGGUGGCCGAUGAGGAGGCGGGAGAGGGAAUCGGCGUCGGCGCAGGCCUGGAUGGAGCAGGCAAAGGAGAGCUUCGGGGGGCCUCCCACGAGCUCCGGCUCCGGCCAUUGUUCUCCUCCAUUCUCUGCUGUCGCCGGCGAGGUGCCAUGGAAGAAAUUCAAUGGGACGGAGCACAGAUGAGGAAGAAAGGCGGAGGGGGAGGAGGAGGAGAGAGGAGGUAGGCAGCGGCGGUGGCGGAGUAUCAUCGCCGGCGCCACCGCAAGGGUUUCCCGCUGCCUGGGCCUUCUUCCUGACGUUUCCCACUUCAACCCAAAAGCCCAUAAAAUAACCCUAUAUUUUUUAAAUUUAUAAAUCAACCCCACAAUGUUUCUCAAAAUCUGGAAUCUCGGAACAAAAAAACUGAACAACCGAAAUCUAUCUGAAUUCAGAAAAUUUGCAAAUUUGAGGAAAAUAAUUUAUUCGUAAAUAUUUGCCCCGCCUGGGUCUUCUUCCUGAGGUUUCCACUUCUCCCCAAAAGUCAAUUAAUAUUCAUAAAUAGCCCUAAAAUUUACAUAAUUUCAAAUAAUACCCUCAUGUUUCAAAAAUAACAACUGAUAACCUAUAGGAAUCCAGAAAAUGUACAAAUCUUAGGAGAAUAUUUUCCCUUAUACCCCCCCCCCCGCCCCUUUCCCAUUAUUUACAUUUCAGUGGAGCGACCGCUGGACAAGUCUUUCCGGGGUCGUCGUGGUCGUCGGAGUCGUCCUCAGCGCGCCGUCGAUGGCUGGAAGCUCAUGCAGAUCGGCGGGUUGAUCUUGAAGAUGGAGAGGACGGCGGAGGGCACGGUCCAUAUGCCGUCGCCGCAGAUCAGGCCGGAGGCCACGGCGCCGGCGAAGUCCUCGGCGCUCUUCCGGUUGAUCCGCUCCCAGAUGAAGAGGAUGACGGUGCCGACGAACAUGUCGAUGGCGAAGUACGCGCCGAUGUAGAAGGGGACCGCCAUGGCCAUGGGGAUGGGGAUGAACCUGGAGAUCCUCACCGGAGUGACGUCCCGCAGGAGGUUGAUGAGCAGCGCAGCCGCGAAGAAGCCGCAGCAGAUGGCCAGGCAGUGCUUCGGCAGCGCGGAGAAGCCCUCCACUCCGAGGAUCGCCAUCUCCCGGUAGAUCACGGCGUAGGGGGCCUUGUAGGCGCCGUCGGGGGCGCCGAUGUCGAACGCCGUCCAGUACAUCCAGAAUGUGAGCGGCGCGAUCACGCAGCCCAUGGCCGUGCCGAUCAGCUGCGACAGGAACAUGGAUCUCGGCGAGGAGAGCGUCAGGUAGCCCGUCUUGAAGUCCUGCAUCAGAUCGGCGGCGGUCGAGACGAUGGACAUCAUGACGCCGCAGGCGGCGAGGCCGGCGACGACGCCGCCGUCGGAGCCGACCAGCGAGGCGAAGACGAAGAGCCCGAUCUUGCCGUAGGUGGACGCGAGGCUCCAGUCCGUGAGACCGGUGCCGUAGGAGUUGCAGAAGGCGAGGGCGGGGGCGACCAGGUAGCAACAGAGAACCAGGUACCAUCGCACCUGCGGGAAGAUCAUCGGCACGGCGGCUGUGGAGACGGCGGCGAGAGCGACGUACCCCGAGGCGGCGAACCAGGAAGGGAUGCCGUCUCUGACAAACGUCUCGUUCCGCAGCCUCUCCUCCACCAAGGCCUUGGACGUCUCUCCAUCUGCAAGUUGAAGAUCAGAUCAACUCCCAGGGAGGUAGAUUUUUCUUUAUUUUUUGGUUAUUUUCCUUUUUCAGUAUUCUGAUUGCUAGAUCGCAGAUUCGCCGGGAUUUCAUGAUAUGCAUCAUCGAUCACAGCAUACUUUUGUGUUCUGGAACUUGAGAGAAUUUUACCCUGGGAGGCGCCCACGAGGGGAAGGCCGGGCUCCUUGGUUUGAACGUUGAAGAUCUCCCUCACGGUGAUCGUUACUAUCUUUAUCAGAUUGUACAACCCAUCUCCAAGUAUGAGGGAUAUGGCAAUGAAGACCUGCAGAUGAUCAGAGAUUCAGUGCCUGCGUAAGAGAUUUAUGAACGGAGUUUUGUUGGGCGCUGCAAAUUCCCACAGGAUGAGCAGCAUGAAGCGGGCACCAUCGAGAGGUCUAUUGACCAUUUUACCUUGUAUCCAUAGAGGCCUUUGAAGUCACUGCUCCCCAGGCCAGCAGGAUACCAAUCCCCUGCACGCUCUGCGAUGAAUGGCCAAAGGAUGCCCCAUGAAAUAAUGGCUCCAAAGAGGACCGAGCAGUUCACGAUGUGAGGGCAGAUGAGACCGCAGCCGACAUAAGUGGGACUGAAGUCAAAGUAAAACCUGCGCAUUAAACAGUCACGAAGGUGAAGUACUCGACAACAUUCAUCGAUUUAUUUCAGGAUUCUGUGGUGACAUGAUGGCGCAUGAUUUUUUAUUUUUUUGUGGAUAAUGCCUAUUUUGGGCUUCAUUGUCGACCUGACUAGACGUACGUUAAGCAAUAUUUGUAAACAUAGCAAGAAGUUAAUUCGCCGAAUUCUCAUAUGAAUGAACUAUGUUUUCCAGAAGAAAUUAUGAGAGUCUCCGGUAUUCAAAUAAAGGGUACUAUGCGUUUAUCAUCCAUAUUCUUGCAUAUUAGAUGAUUGUUAACGUUAAACCCUGGCAACAUCAUGCUCGCUUUCAUGCAUGUCGCACCAAUGAAGUAUGAAAUAUCACACUUUUGGAUGCAGGUGCGUAUCAAAUAAGAAAUGGAACAAGAAAAGAAGAUUAGGAGCAGGAGAGAGUUACGUGUUCUUGUAAGCUACGAGCCCAAGGGUUGGGAAAUUAUCGAAACCACAUGAAUCCCCAAUUCCGCUGAAAAACCAUUUGAAACAGCUCCAGAAGAAGCUUAUGCUCAGGUACUUUCCGAGGUACUGGACUUGCUUCCUGUAAGUAGCAGAGCAUGGCCCAUUAGUGAUACGAAUUUAGCACUACAAUUGCCCAGUCAGGAGAGUUGCAACAUCUGACAUAGCAUAGAAAGCAGAGAAUUUUGACAAAGUCCUUCAGAAUAUCAUUUAAAGUUAAGGUUUUUUGCUUCAUGGUGUCUGAUAUUUAACCUCAGAGAUAUUGUUUCAGGGUAUGAUGGUCGGUCAAUUUCAUCCCUCCAAUCCAGUUCUGAUCUGUUUAAGGAAGUCACGGACCCCUGAAUCCCUCAAGGAUUGUUAGCCGAAUGCUUCUGUUUCUUCAGGUGCCCUGUUGAUUAAUUCUCAAUCACAAUUAUGGCAUCUGUUCAUUUAAUAAUAUAGAUAUUUCGACUCGUUUACUGGUUUCUUAUUUUUCGUUGUUCUUUUUGUUUUAUCUUCUGACAGUUCAUUCCUACACAUAGGUCAACACAAGUGUUCCAAUUUAUUGUGCUCAAUCUUUUUUAGUACUUUUUUUUUCCAUUCAGCUCGUCAUAUUUGCCUCCUUUUCUAGAUUCUGAAAGGUACGGAACUAUAAUUUUCAAGCAGCUUUCAAGAUAAUGCACCCACAGAGAAAAAAGGUUAGUGAUGGAUCCUCAGAAAUUAAAUUAUAAUUUUUUUUUCUUCUGAAUGUAUGAAGCGUUAGAAUGAGGCAGCGGGAGUUCUCCAAGUGUAUCAUUACCCUGCGCGUUCUGCUCCCGUGUUCGUAUGAAAACUAUUAAUCAGCAAUGCAGUAGCUGUCCCACUGGGGUAUGUAAGUUUAUAGUCAAUGACCAUAACCUGGAUAAGAAAAAAAAAGGAAAAAAAACGUAUAAGCAUCCGAAAUUGAGAUCAUUCGUGAGCAGAACCAUUUAAGAAAAUAAACUACGUUGAUCCUUCAUUCGAACAAUACUAGGAUUGUUUUCUAUAUUUCACAAACCGGCCCUUUAUUCCCUCACAUCUGGCUACGCUGUUGUCGUUCCAUCCUCUUCAUUACUCUCAAUAUUCCACCAUUAUUCCCUACAAUAGUCACAAUAUUUUCUGAUUUUAUAUUUUUUUUUUGGUGGUUCAUCAGAUUUCCAGGGGGCAUACGGGGAUAGUUUUUCGGAGAAAUAAAUUCAUGUCUCAGAGCAAGAGGAAACGAACCCACUCUCAUUGCAAUAUGUAUAUUCCUCACCUCUGUUUUAACCUCUAGAGUCACAUAAUCUGACAUAAUUUCCAUGAGCAAUGAGAGGGCCAAAAGUUUGGAGGAUUUUAAGUUGCAUUUAUCGCCACAGAUCUUGAUCUCUUAGUUGAUUAUUGACAUCAGAAUGCAGGCAGAUGAAUAAGUGGCGAUCGAGCACCUUGCGCAGAGGAACGAGGCUGAAGAGCCCUAGAAAACUGACGACGAACAUGAAACCGAUCAUCCAACCCAGCGACGGAUUCUUGACGUCUUCCGCCCUGUUGCCUGGGUAGUCGGCGCCUAUGAGUUCAUACGUCCUCUGAUCCAUGGCAAUCAUGUACGAUCCGAAGCCACCUGAACGAAGAACUCGGUUCAGGAACCGGUCUAGAGAGUGAAACAAAUCCAUUACCGGCGGUCUGAUUCUUUCCUUUUCAGGUGAAAACCGGUGGGGGACUCCCCGAGAGAUUCUAAUGGGCAUCCAAAUCGAGAUCGUGGCCCCCGAGCAAGACUGGGAGGACGGCGCGGGCAGAAAUGGCAAUUACCGCUGAAGGCGAGGCCGUAGCAGGCCACGACGCAGGUCUGGAUGACGGUGUUCUCCUGCGGCGUGAACGGGACGGUCCAGAUGCCGAGCUUGGAGAGCAACCC